UACGUAGGUCCCGAGCGUUGUCCGGAUUUAUUGGGCGUAAAGCGAGCGCAGGUGGUUUAUUAAGUCUGGUGUAAAAGGCAGUGGCUCAACCAUUGUAUGCAUUGGAAACUGGUAGACUUGAGUGCAGGAGAGGAGAGUGGAAUUCCAUGUGUAGCGGUGAAAUGCGUAGAGAUUAGGAAGAACACCAGUGGCGAAGGCGAUUCUCUGGACUGUAACUGACGCUGAGGCUCGAAAGCGUGGGGAGCAAACAGG
rnacentral:rRNA from 1 species